rnacentral:misc_RNA from 1 species
AAAAAAUUAAAGCAAUACACAACCAUUGCCUGCACACUGGAACUAAAAACACACAUCCUUCCCACCCCGCUAACUUUGUAUAUACAGACUCAGGCUAACAUAGCUUAUUCCUUCAACACUACUUACACCUGCAAAACAAACUCACAACUCAAGCUCUCACAUCACAAUCUGAGGGUUCAAAAUGCUGGUCUUGAUCUCCUUAUGGGGCAGAACCACCCCGCCAUUGCUGUAGAUCUCAUCGCACACAUGCACAUCCUCCCCGAGGAUGGUCAUGUUCUCCACCCGCGCCCACUGCCCCACCGUCGAAUGCCACCCAAUAAUGCUGCUCGAGAUGCAGGCGUGCUUCUUGAUGCGGCCUCCGCGCAUCACAGUGCAGCGCGACAGUCUGACGCCCGACUCAACCACGCAGCCUGGCCCAAUUGCGACGUCAGGGCCGAUAAGGCAGCCUUCCCCUAUCACAGCACUCUCAUCCACCAAGACAUUCCCAACAAUGUGCGCACCAACAGCUAAUCUCGGGGACGAUCGCUUCCGCAGAGAAUCCAGAUACAGCCUCAGGCCAGUGAUGUAGUCCCUCGGCUGCCCGACGUCCAUCCAGAAACCGCGGACCGACCAGAAGCUGUACGCCAUGGUCCUGCCAGGUUUCUGGAUGGACGUCGGG